rnacentral:rRNA from 1 species
GACGAACGCUGGCGGCGUGCUUAACACAUGCAAGUCGAACGGAAAGGCCCUGCUUGCAGGGUACUCGAGUGGCGAACGGGUGAGUAACACGUGGGUGAUCUGCCCUGCACUUCGGGAUAAGCUUGGGAAACUGGGUCUAAUACCGGAUAGGAGCCAUCUUUAGUGUGGUGGUUGGAAAGUUUUUUCGGUGUAGGAUGAGCUCGCGGCCUAUCAGCUUGUUGGUGGGGUAAUGGCCUACCAAGGCGGCGACGGGUAGCCGGCCUGAGAGGGUGUACGGCCACAUUGGGACUGAGAUACGGCCCAGACUCCUACGGGAGGCAGCAGUGGGGAAUAUUGCACAAUGGGCGCAAGCCUGAUGCAGCGACGCCGCGUGGGGUAUGAAGGCCUUCGGGUUGUAAACUCCUUUCGCUAGGGACGAAGCUUUUUUGUGACGGUACCUAGAGAAGAAGCACCGGCUAACUACGUG